CCUGUACAUUGGGAAAGGUGCCGAAGACAUGAACUUUGGUCUUCUCUGCAAUCCCUCUGGAGCAUUCAGUGACAACGUCGACUUUGAAGUUGCACUGACCUGGCCAGCCCUGCCACUUACCAGGUUGGGCUGUGGCUUGCCUUUUCACUUCUUGUGUCCUGUUUAAGAAAUAUCUGCUAUCCCAAGAUUGCAAACUCCUAGAGAAGGGCUCAACAGUGAGUGUUGAGGCUGCACAGAGGAGGAAGGUAGCACAAUGAUGGAAGGCUUCCUAAAGAGGCUCUUGAGUUUCUGCUUUCAAGUGACCCUCAGAAAUGCCCCCAUUCACUGCAGAGGUUCUGUUUCUCCUUGUUUUGUUCCGACUUUAUGGCAGAACUAGGUUAAUGAGUUAAUUACUAUGAGUUAUCACUUGGAUUUGAAGAACCAUCAUUUCUAGGCUUUGCUGCUCAGAGUGGGUUUGCCCUCAGGGGAAGCUAUCUAACCAGAGCCUAACCCACUAGGGUUUUAUCAGAACCUAACUGGCCUGAGGAAAAGAAAUAUUCAACUCCAGCAAGCUCCAGCCUUCCAAACGGAGGAGGAGAAAACCCAAAUCCAGCCCACUUCAGCUAUCUUGUCCCACAUAAAGGGGGAGUGGAAGAAACGUGAGAAGCAGGCAUGAAGUUCACAGUCCGGAGGUACAGACACAUCAGAGUUCAGUAUCUGAUGAAUUAGAUGCAAAAUCCUCAACAAAGUAUUAGCAAAUUGAAUUCAACAAUGUAUGAAAAUUAUUACAUGCCAUGACUAAUUGGAAUUUAUCUCAGGUAUACAAGCCAUGCUGAACAUCUGAAAAUCAAUUCAUGUGAUCCAUCACAUUAGCAGAUUCAAGAAAAAAAAAACCACAUUAUCAUAUCAGUAGAUGUAGAAAAAAAAAAUUAACAAAAUCCAGCACGCAUUCACAAUGAAAAUGCUCAGUAAAUUAGAAAUAGAAGGUAACUUCCUCAACUUGACAAGGAAUAUCUCUAAAAACCUACAACUAAAAUCAUACUUAAUGGUAAAAAACUAGAAGCCUUCCCAGUAAGAGUAAGAACAAGGCAAAGAUGUAUGCUCUCACCACUCCUUUUCAACAUCAUAUUGGAAGUCCUAGCUAGUGCAAUAAGCAAAAAAAAAAAAAAAA
rnacentral:lncRNA from 1 species